rnacentral:rRNA from 1 species
GACCAGACUCCUACGGGAGGCAGCAGUGGGGAAUAUUGCACAAUGGGGGGAACCCUGAUGCAGCGACGCCGCGUGGGUGAAGGAGCACCUCGGUGCGUAAAGCCCUAUCGGCAGGGAAGAAACAGACGGUACCUGACUAAGAAGCCCCGGCUAACUACGUGCCAGCAGCCGCGGGAAUACGUAGGGGGCAAGCGUUAUCCGGAUUUACUGGGUGUAAAGGGGGCGCAGACGGCAGCGCAAGCCAGGAGUGAAAGCCCGGGGCCCAACCCCGGGACUGCUCUUGGAACUGCGCGGCUGGAGUGCAGGAGGGGCAGGCGGAAUUCCUGGUGUAGCGGUGAAAUGCGUAGAUAUCAGGAGGAACACCGGUGGCGAAGGCGGCCUGCUGGACUGCGACUGACGCUGAGGCGCGAAAGCUAGGGGAGCGAACAGGAUUAGAUACCCUAG